UCUGAUCCGAAGCCGAGCUCUGCCAGCGGAUCAGUAGCAGAGUCACCUUCUGGCAGGGGCGGGGGAACCACUUCCGGCUGUUUAGCAGCCUUGGGGUGAAGUCCGUCAGCGGCAAGCACAUACCACCGAGGAACUCUUUUGGACGCCUCUGUGCCUGGAUGCUUGCUACGGCGGACCGGGUCUUUGAUCUCUCUGACCCGAAUCCGACAGCUAACUUCGCAGGCUCACCAGAGAGGAACC
rnacentral:sRNA from 2 species